UCACGGCGACGCUGUCGAGGAAAACUAUGAUGGGUGUGUCUAAGGGCUCGGAUUCAAAAGUCUUCGUUCGGAAAGUGAGGGAAAUUGGCGUUACUGUUAAUUGGUCAAUUUCCAUGUUGGUGGUUAGGGAAGGGUGCUAGCCGCCCUUGAGAGAGAGUUCGAGAAGAGGAAGCGUCGUUCGCUAGUGUUACGCCGCGCAACACAUCUGCAUUCCAUCCCGCGCGGCGUGACAGCCAACGGUCUACGUGCCGUCCUUCGAACCCUCCACAGGCCUAAGGACCCACCAUAAAGUCGAAAUUCUAACUGCAUUGUUCGCAC
rnacentral:misc_RNA from 1 species